ensembl:lncRNA
CUUUACCAUUAGCACAUUUUUUUUAUAUUAAAAAUGAAAUAUACGUGAAUGGUUCCAUUUUUAUGCCAUUCUGGAAAAGGCAAAACUACAGGGCCAGAGAAAAGCACUGGUUGCCAGGUUUGGGAAUAGGGGAGGAGUUGACUAGAGAAGGGGACAAAGGGACUUUUUGGGGUAAGAGAAAUGUUUGAUAUUUUGAUGAAUUGUGGUAACAGAUACAUGUCUGUAUGAGUUUGUUAAAAUUCACAGAACUGGAUGAUAAAAAAGGUGACUUUACUGUAUAUAAAUUAUACCUCAAUAAACCUGACUUUUAAAAGUGAAAUGUACAGAGAAAAUAUAGACAGCAAGGACGAUAUUUUAUUUUCUUUUGAGGAAGAUUCGCCCUAAGCUAACAUCUGCUGCCCAUCCUCCUCUUUUUUGCUGAGGAAGACUGGCCCUGAGCUAACAUCUGUGCCCAUCUUCCUCUACUUUUUAUAUGUGGGACGCCUGCCUCACCAUGGCUUGACAAGUGGUGCAUAGGUCUGCACCCAGGAUCCAAACCCGAGAACCCUGAGCUGCCAAAGCAGAAUGUGCCAACUCAAUUGCAGAGCCACCAGGCUGACCCCAAGGACUAUAUUUUUAAAAUAAUUUUAGGGCCAGCCCCUGUGACCUAGUGGUUAAGUUCAGCUCGCUCCCUUUGGUGACCCUGGGUUCAGUUCCCUAGGCAUGACCUACACUGCUCUGUUAGCAGCCAUGCUGUGCUGGCAGCCUACAUAAAAACUCUAAAAAUAUUUUAAAUUACACAAGCAAUAAAAUUACACAAUAAAUAAAUAAUCCGUUAUGCAUUUUAAAAAUUAGAACAUUACAGGUGAAUCUAAAGUCUUGUGUGUCAGGUCCCCAUUCUGAUCCCCUCCUUCCUUCCCGGGGGUGAACACUGAUGUGUGUUCUUCCACAUUUUUUAAAAAGUUAAAACAUACAAAUAUGUGGUUGUAGAAAAUGUAUAGCACUGGGUUUUCUGUGGACACGUGCGUGCUCUUUAUUACAUUAAUGGUAUCACACAGUACCCUAAUCAAUAACUUUUUCACUGUUUUUUUCUUUUUGGUGAGGAAGAUUGGCUCUGAGCUAACAUCUGUUGCCAAUCUUAUUGUUUUUGCUUGAGGAAGAUUGUCCCUGAGCUAACAACCGUGCCAAUCUUUCUCUAUUUUCUAUGUGGGAUGCUUCCCCAGCAGCGUGAUGAGCAGUGUGUAGGUCGGCGUCAGGACAGCCGUGAAGCCCGGUGCAGGAAUUUAACCAAUACGCCACCAGCCGGCUCCUCGCUUUUUCUUUUUUAUGUAUCUGUUGAUAAAGAUCUACUUCCAUCACUCCAAGUGCAGGAUUAAAUUUUUUGUUUGUUUACGAUCAUGGUAUCAUGCUGUACCUUAUUCUGCAACUCAUCACUGUUUUUUGAUGUCUAAUUCACUCGCUGGAAGUGCAGCAGAUAGCAUUCCACUUCACGAACACACCGCAUUCUGUUAAUCCGUUGUGUAGGUGAUUAGCUGGCUCCCAGUUUUUCGCUCUUACAGUGAUCCCCUGCCCACCGUGCUCGCGUGCUGGGCCGCUUCAGGGUGGAUGGCUAGGAGUGGCACAGUUUGUGCACUUUCAAUUUUAACAGGAUAGGACUCGCGUCUUCCCCAGAUAGGCACCCAGAGCCACCCAGAAGCGGGUCGGCGGCGCACCGGACGAUCGGACAGACCCCGCUCAUAGCCGCCGCCCGGGGCUCCACGGCUGCCCUAGCGCAGCCGCUCUUCCCCGCCCCUCCCUCGGCGCCCGCCGAGACCUUCCCAGCAAGCACUGCACAUAUUUGCAUAGCAAUUCGCGUCCUUGCUUCACUUCAAAAAACAGAAAUGACAAAUCAAAGAGUCUUCUUGUGAAGACGUCCCUUUGCUUCAGAAGAUGUUGCAGUUCCUCUCUCAAACUCAGGAACAGGGAGUAGGAAAUGGCAUCGGCUUUGUUUUCACCUUUACCAAAAGAGAGGUUCGGCAACAGCGCCCCCCUGCUUUGAAUUUUUUCUUUUUAAAAAGGGCUUCUGUCGUGAGUGGCACACGUGGGGCAGCUCAAUUGCUCUUCGUGCGGAAUCGACAUCAAGAGAUUUCGGAAGCAUAAUUUUUUGGUACUCGGGCAGCUGGUGAUCGUUGGUCUCGGCGCCCCUGUUCAGAUGGGUCCGAAAAGAAAAACGAGUUCUCGUUGGCCUCUGUAAGAGUAGAAGAUUAGCCUUGAGCUAACUGCUGCCAAUCCUCCUUUUUGCUGAGGAAGACUGGCCUAGAGCUAACAUCUGUGCCCAUCUUCCUCUACUUUACAUGUGGGACGCCUACCACAGCAUGGCUCUUGCUAAGUGGUGCCAUGUCCACACCCGGGAUCCGGACCGGCAAACCUGGGCCACCAAAGCGGAACGUGUGUACCUAACUGCUGUGCCACCGGGCCAGCCCCAGGGUUCAUUAAUUCUAACAACAAAUAUGUAAUGUGCCCCAGUAUAGUGCCAAACACAAUAGACCCAGUGCCUGACUUCACAAGGCUUACAGUUUAGUGAGGGGAGAGAACAGGAAAUUGAGCACAUCUGCGGGGAGGGGAAGAUCUGGGAAAGCUUUCCUGAGGCAAAAACUUUGAAGCUAAAACCUAAAGAAUAAGUAGAAGACAAUCAGGCAAAGUUGGGGGGUGGGGAGAUGUUUAUGUAGAGGCAAAGCCUUGAGGGUGGAGAGAAUGUGCUGCGAUCCAAGAGCUGAAAGGCCUGGAUGGCCCCAGUGAAACAUUCAGGUGUCCCGACACGGGAAGCCUGAAGAGACGGCUGAGGCCUGGUCUCACAGGCCUUGGAUGUUCAUUGCAGUGUUUUUUAUAAAGCAGAAGAAAUGAAAAUCUACCUACACAGGGUAUCAAUAAAUCUUUCCUGUAAAGGGCCAGAUAGUGCAUAUUUUAGGCUUUGUGGCCAUAUGGUCUUUGCUAGCUACUCAACUCUUGCUGUUGCAAAGCAGCAACAGACAAUGUGUAAACAAAUAGGCAUGGCUGUGUUCCAAUAAAACUUUAUUUAUGGACACUGAAAUUUGAAUUUCAUAUAAUUUUCAUGCGUUAUGAAAUAAUAUUCUUUUGAUUUUUUUUUUCCUGCCAACCAUUUUAAAAUGUGAAAAGCAUUCUUAGGUUCCCAGGCAAUACCCAGGAAGCUGUAGUUUACCAACUCCUGGCCCACGUGUUCAAGAGCAAUAAGAGCCUGGUCAAACCAGCUACAAGGCAUCCACACAGUGGAAUACUAAGCAUUCACUAAAAUGUUGAAAUACGAUCCUUCGUGAUAAUGGUUCAUCUCUAUGCAGCACUUUUCAAGCGCCAGGCCCUGUAUUAAGCACUUAGUAUGCUUUAGCUCUUAUUAACCAUCACAUAAACCAAUGAGGUAGGUAGUAUUAUUAUGCUUGCUUUACAGAUGAGAAAACAGAAGCUCCAAGAGGCCCAGAUCACAUAGCUAGAAAGUAGCAGAGUCAAGAGGUGAGCCCUGGUCUUCUGACAGGAAUCAGUUGCUCUGACCACACAGAACGCCCAAAGGGAAGGCCAACUGCAGUGGGCUCUCUCAGAGAGCGAAGAUUUAUUGGGAAAGUGAAGCUGGUUUCCUUUUGCUUAUCCAUAAUUUCCUAUUUUCUAAGAAAAUAUGGAGUACAUGAAAAGGUCAGAGAAAUAAUGAGGACACAUGGUCACUGGAAUACAAAUGAUGACAAAUAAAAUCAGACUCACAAAGAAGUCAGUCACAGAAGGCCACAUAUCACAUGAUUCCUUUCAUAGGAAGCGUCCAGAAAUGGCAAAUCUAUAGAGACAGGAAGC